UCAGAUCUACUUAAACAUAUGCAUAUUUUAGCCAUUCAUCAACCACUCACAUCUAAUCUAUUUCCAUACAAAACUUACCACAAUUGACCACAUAUCAAAUCACAACCUAACAUACCAAAUUGGUUAUUCAAAACAUACAUUCACUUAGCCAUAUCAACACCAACAAUCAAAGCAGCAAAGUGCCAAAAGCACACCAACCAUAAUACCAUAUAUACAUGCCAAACAUAUCAACUAGAUCAUCAAACACUAGUCCACCUAUACAUGCCAUUAUAACUAUGACCAAAAUAUCAAAAUCUACCGAUAUAAUCUCCGGAUAGUGUGAUAGGUCACUGACGAGCUUCCGAUAAUCUAUAAAACAUAGGAAAGAAAAGCAACGUAAGCAUAUAAUGCUUAGUAAGUUCGUAAAUCAUGAACAUAGCUUACUAUUUCCAAGCAAAAUAUUAUAAAAUAGACAUGGCACAAGCCUAAGCAUCAUCAACAACACAAGUUAGUGCUUAAACACAUAACUUAACAAAUUCAUCACAUGGUAAGAUAGAUUUUAUGAACAUAGCACAUUUGAAUUCAUAAUUUUUAUAAACAUGGUUAUACAUAAUUUGAUCAUGAACAAUUAUACCUUUCCAUAAGUUCUUAACUUAGCUAUUGGAGCACUUACUAUUCAUUCCUUUUUCAUACCCGUUGAACCACUUAGAAUAAUAUCGGAUACACGAGACGCUCACAUAAAGUGUGUUAAACAUAUGGUGGAAAUCAUUCAUUUUUCUUUCCCUUUACAUCGAUGCUCACUCGAGCCAAAAAUAGGUCUGCUCACACAAGCUGACAGUCAGAAUGUAGCUACAUGAUGCCGCUCACACAAGCUGAUGAGUAUCCACAACAAAUGUCAAAACUCAUCCAUCAGCAGAACAUUCAGCAGCAACACCCAAAACAUGGUAACCCUAAUGACAUGUCAUUUGUAUCCUAUAUAUUCUUAAGGUUCAAACGAGGCUCGAUAGUCGUCAUAACAUUGUUGGAUUUUCAUUGUAACAUGACAUGAUAACUAACAUAAUAGCAUGUAAAUCAAAUAACAUUAAAACGUUAUUUAAACAUACAAACUUAACUCGAUUUUAAAGAUGUCGAAAUAUGAUCACUAAUCUAAGACUUUAUCUUUUCCCCAAUCUGGAUCCGUACAAUGCUUAAAUUGAUCUAAAUAAGCAAUUUUAAUCCAUUUAAUAUUCAUUCUAUUUAAUUCAGUCCAAAAUUUAUACUGUUAAAAAAUUACAUUUUCCCCUAAUGUUUUAACUUCUUUACAAUUUAGUUUUUAAGCUCGUAAAUUAACAUUUAUGCAAUUUCAUCCAUAUAUCAUGCUUGCCGAUUUACCUAGGGACUCAUAUCAACCCACACAAAUCAUCAAUUCACAAUUUUAUCAUGAUAUUUUACUACUUUUACAUAUAGGUCCCUAUAUGAUAAUUUCAUAAAAAAUCACUUCACAAAAGUUGUUUAUUUAACAGCAAGGACUUAUAAUCUUUCAUAAAUUUUCAAGAAUCAUGCAAACAUGUUCAUGGAAAAAUCCUAAACCUUUAAAUGUUUUGCAAAUUAGUCCAUGAGCUAGUUAGAUUAAGCUACAAUGAUCUCGAAAACAUAAGAAUCAUUAAAAAAAAGAAACAAAAUUAUACUCACAUGCAAGCAAAGACUUGGCUGAACCUUGAAACUUAAUUUUCGAUAAUUAUACUCACAUUCUAAGCUUAAUUUUCGAUGGAUGAAAGCAUUUUUGAAAGAUGACAUUUUGUUAUUCUUCAUUUUACUUAACUUAUUUAUUAAUUUACUUUAUUAACCUUUAACUUUUAACUUAAAAAUCAUUUAAUUCAUGCCCAUAAAUGUCCACUCAUAAUAAUAAUGGUCUAGUUACCAUAUAAAUCCCUUAAAAAUUUAAUUUCAUAGCUAAUAGACACCUUUAACUAAUGGAACUAUACUUUUUCACCUUUUACAAUUUAGUCCUUUUUACUUAAUUAAGCAUGCAAACGUUAAAAUUUCUUUAUGAAAUUUUUAUACGACACUACUAACAUACCGUAGACAUUAAAAUAAUAGAAUAAAUAUUUUUAUGUUAUAUUUGUAGUCCUGAAACUACUAUUUUGAUUUUACUGAAAACGGGCUAUUAUAUAAAUUAUUUAACUCAUCAAGCUUCUGCCGUAAUAUGUCCAUGGUCAUUUGUGACAACCUUUGAGUCUCUAGAGCCCAAUUCAUUAAGCCACAUCUUACUUAUUGAAUUUGAUCAGGUAUCUACCCAUUCGAAUUGUUCCAUAAUUAUCUAACUUCUCAUUCACAAGACUCCUUAAGCAAACAUGUAACCUUAAACUGAAACACACACACCCUCUAUUCCUAUCAAUCAACCCACUUAUAGGUAUUAACCAAAAGUGGGAAAUGGUCUGAUAUUGAAUGCACACAAUGCUGAAGACAAUAGUUAGGAAAUAAGUCCUUCCAUCCCGGUGUUGUCACACCCUAUCAAGCCUUUCCUAGAUAUUAUUGUGAACCAAUCUCCCUUGAUCCCAUGUAAACCAUUGGCUUUCAUAUCCCAAAUCCACCAAUUCACAAUCCUCAAGAGCCGACCUAAAAGCCAUCACACUUUGCUCAUCACUCAACCUUCCCCAUUGCUUCUCAUGAGAAUACAUAAUCUCAUUGAAAUCUCCCAUAGUCAGCUACAAUUUCGCACAUUCAAUUGAGAGAUCUCGUAAAUGAUCCCAUGAAUGGUGUUUCAAAUUCUUUACCGGAUGCUUGUAAAACCUAAUAAACCUCUAAUUAGCACAUUUUGUUUCUCAUUCAAUACUAACAUCAAUAUGGCUUAACGAAAAGCUUCGAAGAACCACCCUAGUUCCUUACUUCCAUUCUAAAGAGAAUCCCCCAUUGUGCCAUCACUACUGCCAUCAAUUCCUCCAUCAAGCAUCAACUUCUGUGAACUCUCUCCAUCUUUGAACUAUGCAGCUUCAUUUCCAUGAAAAAAGCUAUAUUGGGAUUAAUUUUCCUCAGCACCUGUCGAAUACGACAUCUUGCCCAAGGGCUUUCCAUUUCCCGGACAUUCCAGCAUAAGAUUUUCGUUACAUCCGAUUACCUUACCCUGCAGAGCCAACCGGCAUCUCAGAAUCAUGAACAAAGACAUGUCCAUCAGUAGUUUCCCCGAAUCCAUUCUACUAGAAACUAAAGAAAAUUGAGUACUACGAGGCCUCUUCUUCCCUUCUCCAGUCUCCAUUGGACAAUCCUCUUCUAUCAACUCCUUAUUCGGAUCAAGAUUCUCCAAAUCCCCAAACUCAAAACUUAAUUUUCCCCUAUAUUCAAUCCUAAAUUAGCCCUCGCUUGCCUUAAAAAAUUGUGUUUCGAAACAACCAUUGUACUACACCAUGCUCCCCGUCCUAACCGUUACCUAGUGUUUUCUUCAAUUCACCCAGGUGUGGCCCCUUCCCCUGAUCCCUUAACCAUGGACUCGACGCAACCAUCGCCCAUUUAGGGAUCACUUUAAUAGAUAGGUCCCAUUCAAACUCUAACUUUUUUUCCAUGAAAUUCUGUACAGCUUCGAAAAAAAAGGAGGUAUACCUCGUGAAGAAGGAAGAAUGGAAGUUUUUCGAAAGACAUUGGAGGAAUGUAAUCUAUCAGAUAUUGGGUUUUUUGGAAACUGGUUCACAUGGGAACGGGGGCAUUUACCUAAAACUAAUAUUCAAGAAUGGUUAGAUAGAACGGUGGCGACAGAAGAAUGGUUACAAAUUUUUCCUGAAUUCCAGAUUCAGCAUCUCCCGCACACGUUUUCUGAUCAUUGUCCUUUACUGGUUAACACCAAAAAGGAAAGAAGAGAGAGAACACAAAAAAAUUUCAAGUUUGAAGCAUGGUGGGAUUUAGAGGAGUCGUUUUUUGAUGAGGUCAAAACCAUCUGGGAACAAUCUGAGGGUGAUUUCUUAUUCAAGCUAAACAGUAUGAAAAGGGGGCUGGAGCGCUGGUCUAGACAAAUUCGAAGUUCAAGAGAAGGAAGGAAAAAGUCGUUACACUCAAAAUUGACCAUAUUACACUCAAAAUUGACCAUAUGACAAAAAUUCAGUAGAUCUAAUCGAUACAAAAAUCCAAUUGAAUUUAGAGAUAGAAAAAGAUGAACAGUAUUGGGAACAAAGAGCAAGGGUUAACUGGAUAAAAUUAGGGGAUAAAAACACAGCGUUCUUUCACAAACAAGCAACACAAAAGAGACAGAGGAACUUGAUUCGUAAAAUGUAGGAUGAAAAUGGAAGAGAAACGAACGAAUUACAAGAAAUGGCAAUGAUCGCCAGAAUGUAUUUCCAACAACUUUUCACCGCAGGCAGAAGGGCUAAUUAUGAGCAUGUUUUAUCAGGAGUUUCUCAAUGUAUAUCAGAAGAAGAUAAUUUGAUGCUUAAAGAGAGUUAUACGAAGGAAGAAAUUCAACAGGCUUUGACAGAAUUAGGGCCCACUAAGGCACCCGAGGAAGACGGAUUUCCAGCAUUAUUUUCCCAGAAAUGUUGGGCAAUUAUUGGAGAAGAAAUAACUAAUUUUUAUCUCAAUCAUCUGAAUGGAGGAAUAGAGAUAGAUCAAAUCAACAAAACAGAUAUCGUUUUAAUCCCCAAAAUAUCAAAUCCAGUGGAUAUUUCACAUUUCAGACCCAUUAGUUUGUGCAAUGUUAUAUACAAAUUAAUGGCUAAAGUUAUUGCGAAUCGACUUAGGAAAGUCCUGGACAAAUGCAUUAAUCCUGCACAAAGUGCUUUUGUGCCGGGAAGAUUGAUUUCGGAUAAUGUGUUGCUGGCCUAUGAACUUCUCCAUACGCUAAAACAGAAGAGAGCAGGGAAGAAAUGAUUUAUGGCAGUCAAACUGGAUAUGAGCAAGGCAUAUGAUAGGGCAGAAUGGAGUUUUGUGGAGGAGGUAAUGAAGAAAAUGGGUUUUGACUCAGAGUGGGUGACUAUACUGUUAAGAUGCGUUACUUUAGUUUCUUAUUCAGUGGUUAUUAACAAUCACAUUGGAGAAUCUUUCUAUCCAACUAGAGGACUCCGACAGGGGGACCCAUUGAGUCCGUUUUUAUUUUUAUUUUGUGGAGAAGGUCUUUCUAGUCUUAUGAAGCUGGGUAUGAUGGAGAAUAGAGUAAGAGGAGUUAAGGCAAGCAAAAGUAGGCCACCGGUUUCACAUUUACUUUUUGCAGAUGAUUGUUUGUUGUUCGGGGAAGCUACAGAGAGGAGUUCAAUUUAUUUAAAACAGAUUCUGCAUAAUUAUGAAGUUUGCUCAGGACAAAAAGUAAACUUUUCAAAAUCCACGAUUUUCUUCAGCAGUAAUUCCCAAGAAGAGGAAAGACGAACAAUUACUCGAGUUCUUGGAGUGCGAAGGUCUGACAAUAUGGAAAGAUAUCUAGGGUUACCUAAUUUGGUGGGGAGAAGGAAAAAGGAGGCGUUCCAGAUUUUGAAAGACAAGUUCAAACAACGAAUUGAAAAUUGGAGCAUCAAGUAUCUUUCACAAGGAGGUAAGGAGAUUUUUAUCAAAGCAAUUUUACAAUCCAUACCAACAUACGCAAUGUCUUGUUUUUUACUUCCUAAAUCUUUAUGCAAUGAGUUAGAGGGAAUUAUUGCAAAGUAUUGGUGGCAGAAAAAUAAAAGGAAAAAAGGGAUACAUUGGUGCGCAUGGAAAGACGUUUGUUUACAAAAAGAGUCGGGUGGUUUAGGUUUUAGAAGUUUUAAUAAGUUUAACGUGGCAUUAUUAGCCAAACAGGGUUGGCGUCUUUUCAAUUAUCCGAGUUAUUUGUUAGCCCGAGUUUUAAAAGCCAAAUAUUUCCCAAAAACAAAUUUCUUAAAUGCUUCUUUGGGUAACCUACCUUCACUCACCUGGAGGAGUAUUUGGGCAUCAAAAAAGCUUUUGUUGGACGGCUUAUGUUGGAGAGUUGGAAUAGGGAACAGUAUAUCGAUAUGGAAUGACCGCUGGAUACCAGGAGUUACUGAAGACAAUUUACAGAACAACAGCAGAAAUGAUGGAAUAAGAUUAGUGUCUGACUUAAUCAACGAAGGAAGUAAAACAUGGAACAGAGAUUUGAUUGUCAAUACCUUUACUAUGGAUAUUGCGAAGAAGAUAAUGCAGAUUCCGCUUUCAAAAUCAAGCCAAGCAGACUUUCAGGUAUGGAGAGGGGAGGCGACCGGAAUCUUCUCAGUAAGAAGCACCUAUAAACUAUUACAGGAGUCUACUAUAGAUCCUAAUGCUUAUUUACAGACCCAUAUAAAAAAAAUUUUCAGGAAACUAUGGAAU
rnacentral:lncRNA from 1 species